rnacentral:rRNA from 1 species
UACAGAGGUCCCAAGCGUUGUUCGGAUUCACUGGGUGUAAAGGGUGCCUAGGUGGUGAGGUAAGUCGGAUGUGAAAGCUCGGAGCUCAACUCCGAAAUGGCAUUGGAAACUACCUUGCUCGAGGGUUGGAGGGGGGACUGGAAUACUUGGUGUAGCAGUGAAAUGCGUAGAUAUCAAGUGGAACACCAGUGGCGAAGGCGAGUCCCUGGACAGGUCCUGACGCUGAGGCACGAAAGCUAGGGGAGCAAACAGG